UUAAUUGAUAUGGUAUAAGUUACAUGUGCUCUGAUGCAUCAAAUAUAAUUGUGAUAUUAUUAUCAUAAAAUAUUUUGUAACAACUAAGGGUGUGUUUACCCAAAUGGAUUCGCAAUCUGGUCGCGGGAUUGAUUUGGGAUUUGUACUGGGAUUGCCUAUUAUUGGAUAAUGAAAUGGUGCAUUUACUACACAUGACAAUAUUGCGAGGAUAUCCUACUAAAAGUGUUUACUAGUAGUGAUUUCACACACAUACUUCGUAAUAAAUUUACUUUUUUGUCCCCAUCAACAGACGGAAAUUACUUGUUCAUGUAAUCCAUUCUUCAUUUCUCUCUCCCCCUUUUCCCUUCCGUCCGACUUGUAGACGUUUUUUGGCAAAACACGUUAUUCCGGCCGAAUCCUCCGAACGAGCACAGCUACCUCCAAAUUUCGGGGUUUCUCAAGACCGAUCCUAUUGUGCAGGAGGCUAAUCUGGUAUUUUCGUAAACGCUUCCGCACACAACAGUUUGAGGACAACAUACAUGGAGACCCCUGCUUCAAAACACGAUUACAGUAGUAACGAAUCCGAUGGUAGAACCGGUAGUAGGCACCGUUCCUUUGCCACAAACGACCAACUACUUCGUUUUUGCUAUUGUGGUAAGGAUGCGCAUGUACGCACUUCAUGGACCUCCCAUAAUCCGGGUAGAAGGUUUCGCGGGUGCCCGGGCAAUGAGGGACAAUACUGCGGUUCAUUCCAAUGGGUUGACCCCCCAAUGUGCCGCAGGUCUAAGGAGAUUAUUCCUGGACUGUUGAACAGGAUUUCCGAAUAUGAAAGUCAGAUUAAAAGUUUAAAUGAACUUCUACAUGCAGAGGAGAUGCGUCGUACUACGUUAAGAAAUUAUUUAUAUGUCGUGAUAUUUGUGUGGUUGAUGACUACUUGUAUUGUCUUUUUUGUCUAACUUGCUUAAAUCGGCGUAUUGUGUAUUUUACGUAUGUUAAUGUCAGUAGGCAUCUACCCUUUCGUUGACGCACUGUUCAUUGUCCCAUGCGCAAAUCUGACAAUGUAAGUUCUCCUAACCCGGCCAGUUGUAAGUUUGUUUCCCGAUUUCCGUUUGUACUGUGCAUCCUCCAAAAUGAAUACCAUAGCGUUAGUACACUCAUUCAUUACUGUAUUGUGACACGCUUAUGUUUACCGUUCUUCAUAUAAGUUUUGUGUUAUGGAUAUAUUCUAUAUUGCAUUACUGGAAUUGCCACUGAAAAAUGGCCCACAAUGAUUUAAGGUGAGAGCGACAUGACAUUACCCUCCUUCCUAAUAAAAGUAGCAGCAUAUUCACUUUCCUGAUCAACCCUUCCAUUCACUCUAUCCGGAUUUAAUGUCUUUACAUUCAUUACUUCGACAUCUUCCCAUCCUCCAACUACUUCGCUUUAGAUACAUAACUUUUUACAUUGAUUGUGGACCUGAGGUGGGUCUUCAAUUUGAUGCUGUUUUAAGAAAUUGGCGGCGGGCUCCAUUAGUUUCGUUGACAAGAUAUGCAUUUACCACUAAGGUGUAAUACAUCUGCUGAUUGUGACGGAAUUUUGUGUUAAUUUAAGCCACCUACCCUUAUUGAAUGCAAUAGGUAUAUUGCAUUUCAAAGUAUAUGGACCUACUAAGAGUCAUCAAUGCAUGUACAGUCUUCGCAUUUCAUU